CCUAAAUAUGUUUUAUUCUGCAGCUGUGGCCUCUAUUCGGUGGAUGUCUGACCAAACCUGAACGAGGAAGAUAUUUUAUGUACUUCUGAUUAUGUUCUGCCCAGCUGUCUCUGUUCCUGUAGUGUGAUCACAUUUCAGCACCUUUUGAUUUGUAGAAUCAAUAUAUCCUGAGUUGUGGUGUCAGUAAUUUAUUUGUAGCACAAUAUCUUACAUAGAGACCAUAUGACUUUGGGAACGUUACGGGACCAAGUCAUUUACCCAGACACUCCAGAACACCGGAAACGUAAAGGUAUUCCUGAUAAGGUAUUGAAGGAAUACCUUGACAAUGUGCAGCUGGGUUUGGAACGUGAAGGCGGCUGGGACAGUGUUCAAGACUGGAUGUACUGAGUGGGGGCGAAAAGCAGAGGAUGGCAAUGGCAAGAUAAUUUUACCAUGUACCCCAGUUUGCCAUUUUGGACGAGUGCACUAGUGCGCACGUUUCCUCUUUCAACUGUGAACAAAGCUAUUCCAACCUAAGAGGAUAAGAAAAGGGAGCACAGUGUCACACAGAAAGUCCCUAUGGAAGCACCACGAGUACUACCUCCACAUGGACAGCAGAGGAAACUGAGUUCAAGCAGAUCACAGAUGACGCCAUUGAAUUCAGCUCUUAAGUGUUUUAUGCUGAUAAAUAUCAGGGUACACCGGAAAUCGAAAGUAACUUGUGGCGAAAUAUAAUGCAGCCUUUU